AAUUUACCCAAGGAUCUAAUCCAGUUCAAUAAGAUGAGCUAUUGGAAAGCUGGUGCCAUGGUGAACUUAAUAAUAGGUACCGAGGUUGGAUUUUGAUGUGAAAAGGAAACAUAAGGUUCAGUGGUUUGAUAGCGUUUUGAUGUUGUUGG